UUUAAAAAAAAAACCCAGAAAUUAGCAAAUUUUGAUCUGAAGAGAGAGGGAACAAAAAUUGGGGGAGGCCUAAUGGUUGUGGUUUUGUUUGAUGUAUAUACAGGUUUACUGAUCUUUGGUGGUGAGUUUUGCACUCUCAAACUAUGUACAUGUAAUGAAGUUUGAGGGAGGUUUAAUUUUGAAGAAAUAAGAAGGGGUUGAGAGGCAAGUGCUUCUCUUGGUAUGCUGAAUGCUGAUUGUUCUUGUUCAUAGAAAGAGUGAGAGAGAA
rnacentral:misc_RNA from 1 species